ACUACUGCAACAUCAAGCAAGUCACUGACGAGUGGAUAGACAUCCAAGUGACUUCUUGUUUUGGUCACGCUCAGUACCCUUAUUCUCUAACAAGCACCUGCACUAUCACUUCAGUGUCCCUACACUGUGGACUCAAGUCUCGUCCAUCCAGAAGGAAAGUGAUCUGUGCACUGAUCGGAUCGAUCACCGUCCUCGUGAUGAUCCAUUGAUCAGGAGCAUUUAGAAAUU
rnacentral:lncRNA from 1 species